UCAGGACGAACGCUGGCGGCGUGCCUAAUACAUGCAAGUCGAGCGAACAGAGAAGGAGCUUGCUCCUUUGACGUUAGCGGCGGACGGGUGAGUAACACGUGGGCAACCUACCUUAUAGUUUGGGAUAACUCCGGGAAACCGGGGCUAAUACCGAAUAAUCUAUUUUACUUCAUGGUGAAAUACUGAAAGACGGUUUCGGCUGUCGCUAUAAGAUGGGCCCGCGGCGCAUUAGCUAGUUGGUGAGGUAACGGCUCACCAAGGCGACGAUGCGUAGCCGACCUGAGAGGGUGAUCGGCCACACUGGGACUGAGACACGGCCCAGACUCCUACGGGAGGCAGCAGUAGGGAAUCUUCCACAAUGGGCGAAAGCCUGAUGGAGCAACGCCGCGUGAGUGAAGAAGGUUUUCGGAUCGUAAAACUCUGUUGUAAGGGAAGAACAAGUACAGUAGUAACUGGCUGUACCUGACGGUA
rnacentral:rRNA from 1 species